rnacentral:rRNA from 1 species
UACGUAGGGACCAAGCGUUGUUCGGAUUUACUGGGCGUAAAGGGCGCGUAGGCGGUCGUGACAAGUCACUUGUGAAAUCUCCGGGCUUAACUCGGAACGGUCAAGUGAUACUGUCGGACUAGAGUACAGAAGGGGCAACUGGAAUUCUCGGUGUAGCGGUGAAAUGCGUAGAUAUCAAGAGGAACACCUGAGGUGAAGACGGGUUGCUGGGCCGACACUGACGCUGACAGCGCGAAAGCCAGGGGAGCAAACGGG